UACGGAGGGAGCUAGCGUUGUUCGGAAUUACUGGGCGUAAAGCGCACGUAGGCGGUCUUUUAAGUCAGGGGUGAAAUCCCGGGGCUCAACCCCGGAACUGCCCUUGAAACUGGGAGACUAGAAUACUGGAGAGGUGAGUGGAAUUCCGAGUGUAGAGGUGAAAUUCGUAGAUAGUCGGAAGAACACCAGUGGCGAAGGCGACUCACUGGACAGUUAUUGACGCUGAGGUGCGAAAGCGUGGGGAGCAAUCAGG
rnacentral:rRNA from 1 species